rnacentral:rRNA from 1 species
ACAGUGGACGCGAGCAUCUGUGGCCAAGUUUUUAAGGGCGCACGGUGGAUGCCUUGGCACCAGGAACCGAUGAAGGACGUGGGAGGCCACGAUAGUCCCCGGGGAGUCGUCAACCAGGCUUUGAUCCGGGGGUUUCCGAAUGGGGAAACCCGGCAGUCGUCAUGGGCUGUCACCCGCUGCUGAACUCAUAGGCAGUGUGGAGGGAACGCGGGGAAGUGAAACAUCUCAGUACCCGCAGGAAGAGAAAACAACCGUGAUUCCGGGAGUAGUGGCGAGCGAAACUGGAUGAGGCCAAACCGUAUGUGUGUGAUACCCGGCAGGGGUUGCGCAUGCGGGGUUGUGGGAUCUCUCUUCCACGGUCUGCCGGCCGUGGGACGAGUCAGAAACCGUUGAUGUAGGCGAAGGACAUGCGAAAGGUCCGGCGUAGAGGGUAAGACCCCCGUAGUCGAAACGUCAGCGGCUCGUUUGAGAGACACCCAAGUAGCACGGGGCCCGAGAAAUCCCGUGUGAAUCUGGCGGGACCACCCGCUAAGCCUAAAUAUUCCCUGGUGACCGAUAGCGGAUAGUACCGUGAGGGAAUGGUGAAAAGUACCGCGGGAGCGGAGUGAAAUAGUACCUGAAACCGUGUGCCUACAAGCCGUGGGAGCGUCGCGCAUCGAGCUUGCUCGGUGCGUCGUGACUGCGUGCCUUUUGAAGAAUGAGCCUGCGAGUUAGCGGUGUGUAGCGAGGUUAACCCGUGUGGGGAAGCCGUAGCGAAAGCGAGUCCGAACAGGGCGUUUGAGUUGCACGCUCUAGACCCGAAGCGGAGUGAUCUAGCCAUGGGCAGGUUGAAGCGGCUGUAAGAGGUCGUGGAGGACCGAACCCACCAGGGUUGAAAACCUGGGGGAUGACCUGUGGUUAGGGGUGAAAGGCCAAUCAAACUCCGUGAUAGCUGGUUCUCCCCGAAAUGCAUUUAGGUGCAGCGUCGUGUGUUUCUUGCCGGAGGUAGAGCACUGGAUAGGCGAUGGGCCCUACCGGGUUACUGACCUUAGCCAAACUCCGAAUGCCGGUAAGUGAGAGCGCGGCAGUGAGACUGUGGGGGAUAAGCUCCAUGGUCGAGAGGGAAACAGCCCAGAGCAUCGACUAAGGCCCCUAAGCGUACGCUAAGUGGGAAAGGAUGUGGAGUCGCAGAGACAACCAGGAGGUUGGCUUAGAAGCAGCCACCCUUGAAAGAGUGCGUAAUAGCUCACUGGUCUAGUGAUUCCGCGCCGACAAUGUAGCGGGGCUCAAGCGUACCGCCGAAGUCGUGUCAUUGCAGCAUGAGGGCCAACGCCCGCUGUGAUGGGUAGGGGAGCGUCGUGUGCCGGGUGAAGCAGCCGUGGAAGCGAGUUGUGGACGGUUCACGAGUGAGAAUGCAGGCAUGAGUAGCGAUUCACACGUGAGAAACGUGUGCGCCGAUUGACUAAGGGUUCCUGGGUCAAGCUGAUCUGCCCAGGGUAAGUCGGGACCUAAGGCGAGGCCGACAGGCGUAGUCGAUGGAUAACCGGUUGAUAUUCCGGUACCCGCUGUGAAGCGUCAAACAUUGAAUCCAGUGAUGCUAAGCCCGUGAAGCCGUUCCGGACCCUUCGGGGAAUGGAAAGUGGUGGAGCCGGUGGCCCGAGCUGGUAGUAGGUGAGUGAUGGGGUGACGCAGGAAGGUAGUCCAUCCCGGGCGGUGGUUGUCCCGGGGUAAGGGUGUAGG